rnacentral:tRNA from 1 species
UUGGUAGCUCAGUUGGAUAGAGCAACAGCCUUCUAAGCUGUGGGUCCUGGGUUCGAAUCCCAG